rnacentral:rRNA from 1 species
CACGUAUGGGGCGAGCGUUGUUCGGAAUUAUUGGGCGUAAAGGGUAUGCAGGCGGCCAUGUAAGUCUGGUGUGUAAUCCCGCAGCUUAACUGCGGACCCGCACUGGAAACUGUGUGGCUAGAGUACAGGAAGGGGAGUUGGAAUUCCAGGUGUAGGGGUGAAAUCUGUAGAUAUCUGGAAGAACAUCAGUGGCGAAGGCGAACUCCUGGCCAUGUACUGACGCUGAGAUACGAAAGCGUGGGGAGCAAAC